rnacentral:rRNA from 1 species
UACGGGGGGGGCAAGCGUUGUUCGGAAUUACUGGGCGUAAAGGGCGCGUAGGCGGCCUGCUAAGUCGAACGUGAAAUCCCUGGGCUCAACCCAGGAACUGCGUCCGAUACUGGUUGGCUUGAAUCCGGGAGAGGGAUGUGGAAUUCCAGGUGUAGCGGUGAAAUGCGUAGAUAUCAGGAAGAACACCCGUGGCGAAGGCGGCUCUCUGGUACGUGACUGACGCUGAGACGCGAAAGCGUGGGGAGCAAACAGG